rnacentral:rRNA from 1 species
GUCGAACGGAGCUAUUGACUUCGGUUGAUAGCUUAGUGGCGAACGGGUGAGUAACGCGUGAGCAACCUGUCUUUCAGAGGGGGAUAACAACGAGAAAUCGUUGCUAAUACCGCAUAAGACCACACUGUCGCAUGGCAGAGGGGUAAAAGGAGCAAUCCGCUGAUUGAGGGGCUCGCGUCCCAUUAGAUAGUAGGUGAGGUAACGGCUCACCUAGUCUGCGGUGGGUAGCCGAGCUGAGAGGCUGAACGGCCACACUGGAACUGAGACACGGUCCAGACUCCUACGGGAGGCAGCAGUGGGGAAUAUUGGGCAAUGGGCGAAAGCCUGACCCAGCAACGCCGCGUGAGGGAAGAAGGUCUUCGGAUUGUAAACCUCUGUUCUUGGUGACGAAAAAGAUGACGGUAGCCAAGGAGAAAGCCCCGGCUAACUACGUGCCAGCAGCCGCGGUAAUACGUAGGGGGCAAGCGUUGUCCGGAAUCACUGGGCGUAAAGGGUGAGUAGGCGGUUAUUUAAGUUGGGUGUGAAAUCCCCGGGCUUAACCUGGGAAUCGCACUCAAAACUGGGUAACUAGAGUGUCGGAGAGGAAAGCGGAAUUCCUGGUGUAGCGGUGAAAUGCGUAGAUAUCAGGAGGAACACCGGUGGCGAA